GACGAACGCUGGCGGCGUGCCUAAUGCAUGCAAGUAGAACGCUGAAGGAGGAGCUUGCUUCUCUGGAUGAGUUGCGAACGGGUGAGUAACGCGUAGGUAACCUGCCUGGUAGCGGGGGAUAACUAUUGGAAACGAUAGCUAAUACCGCAUAAGAGUAGAUGUCGCAUGACAUUUGCUUAAAAGGUGCAAUUGCAUCACUACCAGAUGGACCUGCGUUGUAUUAGCUAGUUGGUGAGGUAACGGCUCACCAAGGCAACGAUACAUAGCCGACCUGAGAGGGUGAUCGGCCACACUGGGACUGAGACACGGCCCAGACUCCUACGGGAGGCAGCAGUAGGGAAUCUUCGGCAAUGGACGGAAGUCUGACCGAGCAACGCCGCGUGAGUGAAGAAGGUUUUCGGAUCGUAAAGCUCUGUUGUAAGAGAAGAACGAGUGUGAGAGUGGAAAGUUCACACUGUGACGGUAUCUUACCAGAAAGGGACGGCUAACUACGUG
rnacentral:rRNA from 1 species